rnacentral:rRNA from 1 species
GUGAAAUUCCGUCGGAAUCUGGGAGGACCAUCUCCUAAGGCUAAAUACUCUCUAGUGACCGAUAGUGAACCAGUACCGUGAGGGAAAGGUGAAAAGCACCCCGGAAGGGGAGUGAAAUAGAACCUGAAACCGUGUGCUUACAAGUAGUCAGAGCCCGUUAAUGGGUGAUGGCGUGCCUUUUGUAGAAUGAACCGGCGAGUUACGAUUUGAUGCAAGGUUAAGCAGUAAAUGUGGAGCCGUAGCGAAAGCGAGUCUGAAUAGGGCGUUUAGUAUUUGGUCGUAGACCCGAAACCAGGUGAUCUACCCUUGGUCAGGUUGAAGUUCAGGUAACACUGAAUGGAGGACCGAACCGACUUACGUUGAAAAGUGAGCGGAUGAACUGAGGGUAGCGGAGAAAUUCCAAUCGAACCUGGAGAUAGCUGGUUCUCUCCGAAAUAGCUUUAGGGCUAGCCUCAAGUGAUGAUUAUUGGAGGUAGAGCACUGUUUGGACGAGGGGCCCCUCCCGGGUUACCGAAUUCAGACAAACUCCGAAUGCCAAUUAAUUUAACUUGGGAGUCAGAACAUGGGUGAUAAGGUCCGUGUUCGAAAGGGAAACAGCCCAGACCACCAGCUAAGGUCCCAAAAUAUAUGUUAAGUGGAAAAGGAUGUGGCGUUGCCCAGACAACUAGGAUGUUGGCUUAGAAGCAGCCAUCAUUUAAAGAGUGCGUAAUAGCUCACUAGUCGAGUGACACUGCGCCGAAAAUGUACCGGGGCUAAACAUAUUACCGAAGCUGUGGAUUGUCCUUUGGACAAUGGUAGGAGAGCGUUCUAAGGGCGUUGAAGCAUGAUCGUAAGGACAUGUGGAGCGCUUAGAAGUGAGAAUGCCGGUGUGAGUAG